UGAUCAGGUUUGCCCAACCGGUCUCUCUCGAGUGGGUAUUGUAUUUAAUGCAGUUCGCCUUCGGAGGAUCUUGACGGAUCUCAACGUACGUCACAACUUAUCUAAAUUCCAAACCCCAUAAUGUUAGUAUCAAUUAUUGCUUAGAAAGAAAAAAAAAAAAGAAAAAAAAAGUAUCAGUUAUUGAACCUUGACUUCAUGCCCUGGUCCUCUCUCUUUCUCUGUGCACUAGAAUUUAAUUGGAUUUUGAUCCGCAAUUUCAGGUGGAUGACACAUAUAUGCAUGAUGGCGGCAAUGGCCAGCUGAUCCCCUGCUACUACCACCAGGUAGGUGAACAAAAGCUUUUCCAAGAUCGAUGGAAAUACAAGAUGAUCUUGCUGAAGAUCAAGAACAUUUGAUGGCAAAUUCCAACAGAAGCAAUCAAAAUUCUACCCAGAUUAAUGAUGUAGAGGAAUUGCAUGUUCGAUUCGACAAAAGCUUUUCCAAACGUAUCAGCUACCUCCAUCAUCUCAGUGCUGUUCCAUAUUUAGAGUUCCAAAGAUGCUACGCGGGCAUAAUGAAAAGGCUUUCCUGCCAGUAGUAGUUUCGAUCGGUCCAUUUCACCACGAGAAUACGCAGCUGCAAGCAAUGGAAAUUUAUAAGCUACAGUAUUUGAAAUGAUUCCUCUGUCGAACAGAAACUAGGAGAUUGGAGUGCUUGGUAAAAGCCAUCGAUAGGAUUGAGCGGAAUUGCCGGGAAUGUUAUGCAGAAGUGGUUGAUCUUAGUAGAAAGAAAUUCAUAGAGAUGAUGGUGAUCGAUGGUUGCUUUAUCCUCGAAUUCCACUACAGAUAUCAAACGGGGGGUAAUACAAGGAGAGGAUGAUCCCGUGUUCAAAACGUCAUGGAUGCGAAGGAAAAUAAUAGCCGACUUGCUUCUACUUGAGAAUCAACUUCCAUGGUGCGUACUCCACUGUCUGUUCAACCUCAUUCCCUCCUUAAACUACUCAUCAACGGUGCUCCCAACUUGAUGAUCUUGUCUCCUUUUCUUUUUCCAAGUAUAAAAUGUUCCCGCACAGUCAUGAAAAGCACAAGCACUAGUCUUUACUCGAUUGCUUUCGAAACUAUUUAUUAGAUGGGUCGUGCACUGUAAAACGGCAUAAUUGCUCAGCAGCCUACUCACCGCACAGUCAUGAAAAGCACAAGCAUUUACUCGAUUGCUUCCGAAACUGUUCAUUAGAUGGAUCAUGCACUGUAAAACGGCGUAAUUGGUCAGCAGCCUCAGAGUGGAAACCAGUUAAGCCCGUGACAGAGCUUAUCCUGCAUGGAAUAUUUCCUUUGAAAGCUAAAGACGGAGCUGACAUCCUCGAUGUAAAGUUCGAAGAAGGCAAAAUGAAAAUCCCAGAAAUAAUUAUAGAGGAAAACACAGAAUCUGUGUUUAGAAACCUCAUCGCAUUUGAGCAUUGUGAUCCGAGGAAGGGCUAUGAAAUCACGUCUUAUGCUGCUCUCUUGGAUUGCCUGAUUAAGUCUCCCGCAGAUGCACUUCACCUCAAACGGAAACAUAUUCUACAAAUUAUUGGUUUGA